UACGUAGGGGGCAAGCGUUAUCCGGAUUCACUGGGCGUAAAGGGAGCGCAGGCGGCACGGCAAGUCUGGCGUGAAAACCCGGGGCUCAACCCCGGGACUGCAUUGGAAACUGCCGGGCUGGAGUGUCGGAGGGGUAAGCGGAAUUCCUAGUGUAGCGGUGAAAUGCGUAGAUAUUAGGAGGAACACCAGUGGCGAAGGCGGCUUACUGGACGAUGACUGACGCUGAGGCUCGAAAGCGUGGGGAGCAAACAGG
rnacentral:rRNA from 1 species